UUGUAAUGAUGUUGGUCAAAUGUCUGACCUGAAAUGAGCAUGUGGACACAUUUAGCGCUGAAUAA
rnacentral:snoRNA from 1 species